CACCGGCGUCCUCCUCACAUGAGGAGUACCAGGAGCAUGGGGCUGGACCAAGGCGCGCGGCGGGGAAACGCGACGACCUCCUGCAGAUGCUCACCGCCCCCCUCCCCCAACACCCGCUCCCUCCACAAGCCCUCGAGCUCCUGCGCGCGGUGAUGCCGCACCACAGCGGCAGUGCGGCGCUGCGGGCUAGGUCGGGCAGCGGAGGAAGGAUCGUUGGCCGAGCUAGCUCUGAGAUGCUCUAGUUCAUCUUGGACUUUGUGGUCUUCUUCUUGGGCUGCCUCUUGGGGAUGGAGUUCUUCAUGCCCAGGAAGAAGAGGAGGUCCCCGAAGAAUGCCACGUUCUACAGUUGAGAGGUCACAGGAUUUUCAGCUAUUAAUGCAAGAAUUCUUUGUUCAACAAACCUGCAAAUAGGUGUGCACGAAUUCAGCCUUCUCCAUGUGGUAGUUGUAGAAGUCGUAGACAAUUGACUUGCAUCACGAUAUUUUGAUUUCAUUCCGAUCUGGUUAAGACAAGUGUUGAAUGCUGUAAUUUCUUCUCCCAUCAAAAUGGUUCAGUGGUGAAUUUU